rnacentral:tRNA from 1 species
AGGGGUAUGGCUCAAGUGGUACAGCACUUACCUGGCAAGUGAGAGGCCCAGAGUUCAAUUCCCAGUACCCAUC